rnacentral:rRNA from 1 species
AGAGUUUGAUCCUGGCUUAGGAUGAACGCUAGCUACAGGCUUAACACAUGCAAGUCGAGGGGCAGCAUUGGAGUAGCAAUACUCAGAUGGCGACCGGCGCACGGGUGAGUAACACGUAUCCAACCUGCCGCUUACUCGGGGAUAGCCUUUCGAAAGAAAGAUUAAUACCCGAUGGUAUAAAGAGUUCGCAUGUUCUCUUUAUUAAAGAAUUUCGGUAAGCGAUGGGGAUGCGUUCCAUUAGAUUGUUGGCGGGGUAACGGCCCACCAAGUCUACGAUGGAUAGGGGUUCUGAGAGGAAGGUCCCCCACAUUGGAACUGAGACACGGUCCAAACUCCUACGGGAGGCAGCAGUGAGGAAUAUUGGUCAAUGGACGAGAGUCUGAACCAGCCAAGUAGCGUGAAGGAUGACUGCCCUAUGGGUUGUAAACUUCUUUUAUAAGGGAAUAAAGUGAGGGACGUGUCCCUUUUUGUAUGUACCUUAUGAAUAAGGAUCGGCUAACUCCGUGCCAGCAGCUGC